rnacentral:tRNA from 1 species
GUCCUUUUAGUUUAGUGGCAGAAUAUAGCCUUCUCAUGGCUAAGGCAGGGGUUCGAUUCCCCUAAAGGAUA